rnacentral:rRNA from 1 species
AGUUUGAUCAUGGCUCAGAACGAACGCUGGCGGCGUGGAUAAGACAUGCAAGUCGAACGAUCACUAUUGAGUAGCAAUAUUUGGUAGUGGGAGUGGCGCAAGGGUGCGUAACACGUGGGUAAUUUGCCGUAAAGUCUGGGAUAACUUGCCGAAAGGCGAGCUAAUACCGGAUGUGAUUGCCGGGGGGAAUCCUCUGGCACUUAAAGUCGGGGACCGCAAGGCCUGACACUUUUCGAUAAGCCCGCGGCCUAUCAGCUAGUUGGUGAGGUAACGGCUCACCAAGGCUAAGACGGGUAGCUGGUCUGAGAGGACGACCAGCCACACUGGAACUGAGACACGGUCCAGACACCUACGGGUGGCAGCAGUCGAGAAUUUUUCUCAAUGGGGGAAACCCUGAAGGAGCGACGCCGCGUGGGGGAUGAAUGGCUUCGGCCCGUAAACCCCUGUCAUUUGCGAUCAAACCUUACGACCUAACACGUCGUAAGCUGAUAGUAGCGAAAGAGGAAGGGACGGCUAACUCUGUGCCAGCAGCCGCGGUAAUACAGAGGUCCCAAGCGUUGUUCGGAUUCACUGG